rnacentral:lncRNA from 1 species
CUCUGAUACUCUUCCAUUCUGUUCUGCAGCUUCAAUUAAAAUGACCAUUUUAACAAAUGUUUUCUCUGGAACUGAGAAAUCUAUCUAUCUCAUUUCCCAAGAUUCAGACAAAUCUUCCUUUUCUUAAUACAAGGCAACUAACUUUUGCAGCAGGAAUUCCAUAUAGCAGUAGUCCAUUUAACAUUUGAAAACUUAGGUAUGAUUAUUUGCUUAUUGGAUAUUCCUCUUCCUCAUUAUUCUAGAAUCUCUGUCACUUCAAGGCAAGAUGCUUUUGUUUUCUCACAAUUGAUGCCUGCCUAGAAGAAUACCUAGGGGGUAUUGGGGAAACAAUAAAUAUCCAUGGAAUAAGUGAGCAAACCAGGACAAAGAUCUGGAAAUGAUUUUUGUGUCUUCCGUAAGUUUAAAUGAUCCUCUAGAUAGAGUUAUUGAGUGCAUAUCAAGCCCUGUAUCAAACACUUUUUUGCAUCAUCUAAUUCAAUCCUAACAAUAUCUCAAUAUCUGGUUGCCCUAGUCUUAAGGAUGAGGAUGUGGGUUGAGAUGGAUCACCUCUCUGGGAAGAGGUGGAGCCUCGCAUCCUACUGAACUCUGUGUGGGUAUCACAGUCAUGCUCACCCUGUGCACACUGGUUUCCUACACAUUGUUUGAUCUAGAGGUAUUCUGUGAGCCAAGAAGUUUUAAUAACAUGGAAAAAUAAUAAUACUGAUUUUUAAAAAGGAAAACAAAGGACUCAAAACUGGUCCAGACCAUUUUUAAGCUUUAAUCACCAGACCUAAAAUCAAUAUGAUGAACCAAGGUUUGCCUUAAUUUUUUUUUUAUUUUUAUUUUUAUUUUUUUUAGUUUUUAACUCUCAUCAUCACCUGAAGUACAUCCGGGGCUCUCCUUUACUUAAUAGACAAAGGGACAUACCCCAGGCUUUUCUAAGACCUUCCAAUUGGUAGCUAUCACCUUUGGGAGGUUAUCAACAGCAUUCACUUUACUCCACAGAGUCCCACUUUGGAUAAUGAAUCUGAUCAUCCUCCUCUUUGGGACUCUCUUGACUUCUACCUUCCAGAAAGUUAUGUUGCUUAGGACCCAAACUCUGUUGUUUGCUUGCUAGAAACUUUGUCUUAUUCCCAUACUCUAUUAUAAUUCCUUGCCCCUAAAGCAUGCUUUCUAUUUUCCUUCUCCUUGGCCAACUAUUCUAUUUCACGGUCUGCUUGAUUUCAAGUUCUGUUCCUCACAGGUGACACAUACAUGUUUUAAAUGAAGUCUCUUAAGACACACAGAUUUUUUUUAAAAAUCCAAGGUUCAAUGAUACCAGGUUAUAGCACCUUAACAUGGCGGCUGCCUUGGACACAUCCCCAGUUUUCAGAAAUUGCAGGUUUUUUGCUCUUAUUGCCAAAACUGUGUAAGCCACUUUUCAUAUUUAGGGGAAGGGGUUAUGUCUCCUCUUCUGCAAUAUGGUCAUUUCUUUAGAGUUCCUUCCAUUUUAGGCUCACCAUGGUCUUGCAAAUGCCUUUGGCAAACAUUGAGUUGAUGCUUGGUAAAUCCACUGGUUUAAAGUGUUACCCACUGUUACCCAUGUUUAUUUCUUCUGGAAAGAAAAGUCAGAUUAGCAUAUCACAUUUAUGUUUCUUUCCAACUGGUGCUCUAUUGCAUUCUGUUCUGUGUACUCUAAAGUUUGGUUCCAGUGUAAAUGAGUCAAACAGGCUUCUAUCAUGAUUUCUUAUGACAUAGCAACUCGUUUGACCCAUAGAUAUUUUAUUAUUUUAUUCAGUGUUUUCUAGACAAUAUAAGCAAAACAGUUAACUUAGAAAUUCAAAAGUGGUUGAUCAGAAGAAAAUUUUUUUUAUUAAACAAAAAAUUAUGUGCCU